rnacentral:rRNA from 1 species
UACGUAGGGUCCGAGCGUUGUCCGGAAUUACUGGGCGUAAAGAGCUCGUAGGUGGUUUGUCGCGUUGUUCGUGAAAACUCACAGCUCAACUGUGGGCGUGCGGGCGAUACGGGCAGACUGGAGUACUGCAGGGGAGAAUGGAAUUCCCGGUGUAGCGGUGAAAUGCGCAGAUAUCGGGAAGAACACCCGUGGCGAAGGCGGUUCUCUGGGACGGUACUGACGCUGAGACGCGAAAGCGUGGGGAGCGAACAGG